CGCAGCAGUCGCGAAAACUUCACAAUGGGGGCAACCCCGAUGAGGGAAUUCCUAGUGCUAGGACAUUUGUGUUAGCUUUUCUCUAGCGUAGAUAACUAGAGGAAUAAGGGCUGGGAAAGACGG
rnacentral:rRNA from 1 species